rnacentral:rRNA from 1 species
GAUGAACGCUAGCGGCAGGCUUAACACAUGCAAGUCGAGGGGGGUUUUCGGACCUAGCGGCGGACGGGUGAGUAAUGCGUAGGAAGCUGCCCGAUAGAGGGGGAUACCAGUUGGAAACGACUGUUAAUACCGCAUAAUGUCUACGGACCAAAGUGUGGGACCUUCGGGCCACAUGCUAUCGGAUGUGCCUACGUGGGAUUAGCUAGUUGGUGAGGUAAUGGCUCACCAAGGCGACGAUCUCUAGCUGGUUUGAGAGGAUGAUCAGCCACACUGGAACUGAGACACGGUCCAGACUCCUACGGGAGGCAGCAGUGGGGAAUAUUGGACAAUGGGCGCAAGCCUGAUCCAGCCAUGCCGCGUGUGUGAAGAAGGCCUUCGGGUUGUAAAGCACUUUCAGCGAGGAGGAAGGGGUGUGUGUCAAUAGUACACACCUUUGACGUUACUCGCAGAAGAAGCACCGGCUAACUCUGUGCCAGCAGCCGCCGUAAUAC